GCGCUUUGCGAAUUUACAUGCCUUAUCUUGUGGUAUGAACUGAGUACGCGAUAAUUUAUGGUGUGUAUUGGGGGCUUACCAUAAGAUAAUGUUCGUAAUCGCAAGCAU
rnacentral:pre_miRNA from 1 species